GAGUUUGAUCAUGGCUCAGAUUGAACGCUGGCGGCAUGCCUUACACAUGCAAGUCGAACGGCAGCACGGGAGCUUGCUCCUGGUGGCGAGUGGCGAACGGGUGAGUAAUGCAUCGGAACGUAUCCUGGAGUGGGGGAUAACGUAGCGAAAGUUACGCUAAUACCGCAUAUUCUGUGAGCAGGAAAGCGGGGGACCUUCGGGCCUCGCGCUCUUGGGGCGGCCGAUGUCGGAUUAGCUAGUUGGUGAGGUAAAGGACUCACCAAGGCGACGAUCCGUAGCAGGUCUGAGAGGAUGAUCUGCCACACUGGAACUGAGACACGGUCCAGACUCCUACGGGAGGCAGCAGUGGGGAAUUUUGGACAAUGGGGGCAACCCUGAUCCAGCCAUGCCGCGUGAGUG
rnacentral:rRNA from 1 species